rnacentral:rRNA from 1 species
AUCAGAAAUCUAGUUGUCAGAAACCACUGGUCUGUUUGAUUUUGGAAGCUAAGCAGGGUUGGGCCUGGUAAGUACUUGGGUGGGUGACUAUUGUAGAACAGCAGCAAUCUCCUGAUA